GACGUAGGGCGCGAGCGUUGUCCGGAUUUAUUGGGCGUAAAGAGCUCGUAGGCGGCUUGUUGCGUCGGCUGUGAAAACCCGCAGCUCAACUGUGGGCUUGCAGCCGAUACGGGCAGGCUUGAGUUCGGUAGGGGAGACUGGAAUUCCUGGUGUAGCGGUGAAAUGCGUAGAGAUCGGAAAGAACACCAACGGCGAAAGCACUCUGCUGGGCCGACACUGACACUGAGAGACGAAAGCUAGGGGAGCGAGUGGG
rnacentral:rRNA from 1 species